CGGAGGGUGCAAGCGUUGUUCGGAAUUAUUGGGCGUAAAGCGCGCGCAGGCGGUCGAAAAAGUCUAUGGGUCAAAGGCCGGGGCUCAACCCCGAGUACGCCCAGGAUACUGUUCGACUGGAGACACGUAGAGGCAAGCGGAAUUUCGGGUGUAGCGGUGGAAUGCGUAGAUAUCCGAAAGAACACCGGAGGCGAAGGCGGCUUGCUGGGCGUGAUCUGACGCUGAGGCGCGAAAGCGUGGGGAGCGAACAGGAUUAGAUACCCUGGUAGUCCACGCUGUAAACGAUGGGCACUGGAUGCGGGGGGGGAUCGGCCCUCUCCGUGUCGCAGCUUACGCGUUAAGUGCCCCGCCUGGGGAGUACGGCCGCAAGGCUG
rnacentral:rRNA from 1 species